GGUUAAGCGACUAAGCGUACACGGUGGAUGCCCUGGCAGUCAGAGGCGAUGAAGGGCGUGCUAAUCUGCGAUAAGCGCCGGUAAGGUGAUAUGAACCGUUAUAACCGGCGAUACCCGAAUGGGGAAACCCAGUGUGAUUCGUCACACUAUCAUUAACUGAAUCCAUAGGUUAAUGAGGCGAACCGGGGGAACUGAAACAUCUAAGUACCCCGAGGAAAAGAAAUCAACCGAGAUUCCCCCAGUAGCGGCGAGCGAACGGGGAGGAGCCCAGAGCCUGAAUCAGCAUGUGUGUUAGUGGAAGCGUCUGGAAAGGUGCGCGAUACAGGGUGACAGCCCCGUACACAAAAGCGCAUGUGCUGUGAGCUCGAUGAGUAGGGCGGGACACGUGGUAUCCUGUCUGAAUAUGGGGGGACCAUCCUCCAAGGCUAAAUACUCCUGACUGACCGAUAGUGAACCAGUACCGUGAGGGAAAGGCGAAAAGAACCCCGGCGAGGGGAGUGAAAAAGAACCUGAAACCGUGUACGUACAAGCAGUGGGAGC
rnacentral:rRNA from 2 species